GAUAAGGAAAGGGAUAGUAACAAUAUUAGUAACUAAAGUGUAUAGAAGAGAGUGAGUCACAUGCCAGAGCCCAGCUUGACCACCGGUGCCACCCAAACUCUCCUUCUGGCUCAGAACUGGAACAACCCAGCUGUUCCCCCUGACUUGGAACCUGCAGCAGCCCAGCAUUCCUUCUGCCACAUUUUCUUAACCAGAAGAGACUCCCUCCUCCCCACCUCUGGUAAUGAGGCACAGAAUAACAUCCAGAUCCCAGCCACGCCCCUUCCUGCAAAAAUGAGCUCUGUCCUGGCCAGAACCAGGACCCAGGGUGAGCAGGGCUGGUCUGGGGCUGCUGCUGGCACCCAGGCUGCUGAGGAGCCCCAAAGGCAAGAGGCAUACUCAGGGCAGCGCGCCGGGGCAAUACUUCUUGGGAACUAACAUAAAGCAGCAGAACCUGAAAAAGUCAGCCAUUCACUGGAAGGGGCCAGAUGGAAUGGGUCCUGUGGAAAGAUGAUAUGUGCCAUCUGCUGGGACCCCACUGCUGGAACAUUCUCAGCAAGUGACUGCCCUUAGUACACCUUCAGGUUUUGGAAUAAAAUCCUGCUUUAAUCAGUGUUACCUGUCCACUGUAACAAAGCCUGGACUGAAUCAAGUGGAGACCAGAAGCAAUUCUUUAUAACCAGACUUAGACUUCAUUUGCUGAGGCCUGAUCUCUCCCUUUGACUGCCAUAAGCAGCCUCUGCAUGCCCCUCCUGUACACUCUGUGCUGGCUGCCCAAGAGCUGCUGAGUGACGGACAGAAGGAGGGACAGUGGCCAGGGUGGUGGCAUGAGCCAGCAGGACGUGUGACCCACGUGGAGUCUGUGUUACGAAGAAGAGCAUGCCUUGGCAGGACUGCCUGGUCACUGACCCUACACUGGCUCAGAUCAUUCCUUGGUAAAAGAUUCCUUUCUGGGAAAGGGUUCUUCAGAUCCAGGUUGUCUGGGCUUUGAAACCAUAUCAGAUUGCUGCUGCUAGGACCAACACUAUUUGGAAGGCAGGUAUUCACAUGUUUUACAAUGUCUUGUUAAAAGGCAGUAGGUGGUUCUUCUGUGCAAGUCUGAGGCUGGGACUACUGGCCCCAGCAGUGUGGCACAUGUAGCACGUCCAUUCCACCAGAGCUUAUAAGCUGAAGUGGCCUUAAUGGAAAAUUCCCAGUAUGACAACAAACCUUAGACCCCAAAAUACAAGAGCUAUAGGGUCAUAAAACCAUAAAAAAUUUACAUUGGAAGGAACCUUGGGGGUUUCUUGUCUCACCUCCUGCCUAAACCAGGGCUAGAGCAGGUUGCUCAGGGCCUCAUCUGGUUGAAAAGACGAAACCUCCAAAGACAGAGAUUUUCCAGCCCCUUUGAAUCCAUUUUCCUAAAAUCAAUGUGCAAUUUUAAGGUAUACCUCAGGUCUUCAGGUAAGGGUAGGACAUACUUUACUCCUCUGUUUAGAGAACUACACAGUGACUCAGCUGCAAGUAUUCAGGCCAGAAGUUACUCCUGUGACUACAGCAAAUGAACGUGGCUAAAUUCCAGAGGGUUUUCCUAGAGGUUUUACCAAGGCCAGAGGACUAUAAAGCUACCAGCUAUAAGGACAGUGUGAAAAUAUGCCCACGUAACAGAAUCUGGACUAGCUGUACCUCUUGGAUACUCACCAGCCUGCUGUGAGGGGAUCCAAACACUGGAUCUUCCACUUGAAUUUUUAUGAGGUAGGGACAGAGCCCGGACAAAUGCCCCAAAUGGCCCUGCUUGUUUCCUCUACCUACUCCCUAACACCUGCUCUAGAGACUUCAUGGCUGGACUCCUUAACCUGUAUCCAGGGCUUAUUUGUCUGUCUUAUCUCGUAUCAGUAUUUCCACUCUUAAGGUUAAUACUCAAUUGCUGAAUUCUUUAAGAGUUAGGGACUUUUUAAUGGGAAAUACGUACUGGUAGGUGCAUAGAGCCUUUGUGUAGAGCUUCUGAACUUAAAGGAGUCAGUUACUUAACUCAGAAUUACAGAGGACUCUAUUAGUUCUUGCUGACUUAAAAAGAUCACUUUUAAGUGAUCUUAUUUUUAAGUCUUGCUGUCUUAAAAAUAUGGUGAGUGCUAUAUUUCCUUGGAAGCAGGGCAGAAAUUUCAAACAUUAGGAAGGCAGGACCUCCUAUUAUCCCACAAGGCUCUCACACAGGCCUCUUGUUCAGGAGCUGUUGAACCAAGACUUGACCUGAGAGUUCAGUUUGGAGUCUAUCACAAAAUUCAUAAUGAAUUCUAAACCUUGUGACAAUUAAGGGUCUGUCUUGAAAAAUUAGGGGUUUCAAGUAGCAGGGGAAAUUCACAGUUAUAUUACAUUUUUAAGAAGAGGCAUUAAUUUAGCAAAAUUAAGAAAAUCUAUGAAGUAUUUGGUAAGAAAGAAAUGGGAAUGCCUCCUUAUUGCAGCCAAUAAAAGUCCAGCAGCGUUAGAGUACAAAUGAUUCACGCCCUGAUUUGGAAGUGAGAUACUUGCAUCUGUAGAAUUGUGAGUGAAUGAGCAAGUGAAGAGACAUCUCAGCAGCAAGGAGAGCAGAGAAGAGCAGUGCUGGCCCAUGUCACAGCCAGAGCAGUGAAUGUAGAGCUGCCUGCUGAGUGUGUGCAGUUAUUCCAGAAAAAAAAGACCGAAAGCAUUGAGCUUACAAGCUCCAGUGUGUGCUGUGUAUUGGGAGUUGUGGUGAUCCAUUUCCUCCCAUGCAGAUGUGCACCACAAGGCACCAGAAAAAAAAAAUAUCUUUGUUUGAGUUCUUUAACCGUGAGUUAACAUAGAGAUUCAACCAUUUAUAUCCUUUGAUAAGGAAUUGGUAUGUGGGCAAAGCUCCAUGUUUCCAAUGAGAGAAGGAUGAGCAACCAGCUGAGUCUGCUGUAGUCAUUGGCUCUGUGAUUCCCAACACAAAAUUACUAAGAAUCUUACUUGGUGCAAUAAAUUUUAGUCUUCAAAAAUUAAUUUAUUUUUUUUUUCAGUCAGAAAGGCAGAGGAGAUUACCGUCACUCCUCACCAACCACACAAAACAGUGUCAACAUGGAACAUAUAAUCUGAUUUCAUGGGUGACCUGUGACACCUGCAAAUGCAAACAAUCUGAGCCAAACAUUAGACUCUCUUUAAAUCCAGCUCAGAGCUAAUCAACAGAACCCUGGUCAUUAUCUGUCUCAUCCUGAGGCAAAUCUCUAUGCUUGGCCAGAUUAAACAUCCACUAAAUCCCAGUUUCUAUGUUGAUCCCGUCUCUGCUAAUGAUAAAGGAAUCCUAUUUCUUGUUUUAAAAUAUUAAAAAUUACCUUGUCCCU